AGUGAACGCUGGCGGUAGGCCUAACACAUGCAAGUCGAACGGCAGCACAGGAGAGCUUGCUCUCUGGGUGGCGAGUGGCGGACGGGUGAGGAAUACAUCGGAAUCUACCUUUUCGUGGGGGAUAACGUAGGGAAACUUACGCUAAUACCGCAUACGACCUACGGGUGAAAGUGGGGGACCGGAAGGCCUCACGCGAUUAGAUGAGCCGAUGUCCGAUUAGCUAGUUGGCGGGGUAAUGGCCCACCAAGGCGACGAUCGGUAGCUGGUCUGAGAGGAUGAUCAGCCACACUGGAACUGAGACACGGUCCAGACUCCUACGGGAGGCAGCAGUGGGGAAUAUUGGACAAUGGGCGCAAGCCUGAUCCAGCCAUACCGCGUGGGUGAAGAAGGCCUUCGGGUUGUAAAGCCCUUUUGCUGGGAAAGAAGUCCUGUCGAUUAAUACUCGGUGGGGAUGACGGUACCCAAAGAAUAAGCACCGGCUAACUUCGUGCCAGCCGCCGCGGUAACAC
rnacentral:rRNA from 1 species